rnacentral:rRNA from 1 species
GAUGAACGCUGGCGGCGUGCCUAAUACAUGCAAGUCGAGCGAACGGACGAGAAGCUUGCUUCUCUGAUGGUAGCGGCGGACGGGUGAGUAACACGUGGAUAACCUACCUAUAAGACUGGGAGAACUUCGGGAAACCGGAGCUAAUACCGGAUAAUAUUUUGAACCGCAGGGUUCAAAAGUUAAAGACGGUCUUGCUGUCACUUAUAGAUGGAUCCGCGCUGCAUUAGCUAGUUGGUAAGGUAACGGCUUACCAAGGCAACGAUGCAUAGCCGACCUGAGAGGGUGAUCGGCCACACUGGAACUGAGACACGGUCCAGACUCCUACGGGAGGCAGCAGUAGGGAAUCUUCCGCAAUGGGCGCAAGCCUGACGGAGCAACGCCGCGUGAGUGAUGAAGGUCUUCGGAUCGUAAAACUCUGUUAUUAGGGAAGAACAUAUGUGUAAGUAACUGUGCACAUCUUGACGAUACCUAAUCAGAAAGCCCCGGCUAACUACGUG